rnacentral:rRNA from 1 species
UACAGAGGUCCCAAGCGUUGUUCGGAUUCAUUGGGCGUAAAGGGUGCGUAGGUGGCGCCGUAAGUCGGGUGUGAAAUUUCGGAGCUUAACUCCGAAACUGCAUUCGAUACUGCGGUGCUUGAGGACUGGAGAGGAGACUGGAAUUCAUGGUGUAGCAGUGAAAUGCGUAGAGAUCAUGAGGAAGACCAGUGGCGAAGGCGGGUCUCUGGACAGUUCCUGACACUGGGGCACGAAGGCCAGGGGAGCAAACGGG